CACGUAGGCGGCGACGUAAGUUGGGUGUGAAAUCCCUGGGCCCAACCCAGGAACUGCGCCCAGUACUGCGUUGCUUGAGGAUCAAAGGGGUGCAUGGAAUUCCCGGUGGAGCGGUGAAAUGCGUUGAUAUCGGGAGGAACUCCGGCGGCGAAAGCGGUGCACUGGUUGAUUUCUGACGCUGAGGUGCGAAAGCCAGGGGAGCAAACGGGAUUAGAUACCCCGGUAGUCCUGGCCGUAAACGAUGGGCACUAGGUAGGGGGAAACCAAACGUCUCCCUGCUGGAGUGAAUAUAUUAAGUGCCCCGCCUGGGAAGUACGGUCGCAAGGCUGAA
rnacentral:rRNA from 1 species